rnacentral:tRNA from 1 species
GCGGGAAUAGCUCAGUUGGUAGAGCACGACCUUGCCAAGGACGAGGAAGCGAGUAAGAGUCACAUGUCCCGCU